AGUUAUUGAACUUGAAUAAGUAUAUAUUUUGAAAAUAUAAAAAAGAAGUAGUAAUCUUCUAAUAACUU
rnacentral:tRNA from 1 species